UGCAGCAGAGAUGCUGCGAAUCAAAAUAUUAUUUUCUCCUAAUACUGUAUAUGAAAUACCUCCAUCAUGUCAAACCUUCCUUAACAUUUGGACUCUUUAUAACGUUGGUUAACAUGAAAAUAAAUGCAGGUUUCAGCUCUUUUUUCUGACAAAAGUUGCGUUGAAUUUCCUCAAAGAAUGACACAAAAACAGACAUUUGUUUCAGAUGGUUUUCUUGUCAUUAGGUCUGAAUCUAUGUGAUUUUUGCUGCUGUUGUUUUUAAACAUCAUUUUCCAUCCUACUGAGAAAAAAAUAUCCAUUCCCAAAUUUGCAAGUUUUUAAAAUUAUCUUUAUUUUAUUAGAAUUAGAAAAUUAGAAAUAUAAUAACAGUUCUUUAAACUUCCAGGGAAGAUAUUUGUCUAAAAUUAUAAGUUGUCUAUUUCCAUAAAGUCGUGUGACAUUUGCAGCUCUAAAUGAGCUUAAUUAGGCUGACCUGACAGCAGAAAUGACUCUAGUUUGUAAAGAUUGCCCCCUGUCCCCUGCUCUCUCAGCGGGAUAAGGCAACCUGCCGUGAAGCAAAAAAAAAAAAAAAAUGUUUUCAGGAAAAGAGAAAAGCUUCCAGGAGCAGAACAAGGGGUUUGAGGAUCUGAGUUGAUUUAAAAUUCACCUAAUUUUACUAGCAAGGACCACGCCACAAAGAUAUACAUUUGAAAAUUUAUUGAUGAAGGGACGAAGGGACGAAGGGAUGAAGGGAUGAGCGAUGAUCUGACUGGAUGCUGAAGAGGCGGCUCCUGUACAAAAGAGAAUGGGUGGAAUAAAGUUUGAGAGAGAUGUCUGAUCUUAAGAGAGCUAGACUGAGAUGGAUGGAGAUCCAGACUCAAGUGGCUGGAUUUCAGGAUUCUGAGAUGCGGAGUGAACCUUCAGAUGAAACGCUUGCUGAAAUUCUGGUCUGAAAAUAAAGACUGGCUCAUAGGGAUUGAGGAUGGAAUUAGGAUGGAAGAGAUGAUAUGAGAAACUGAUUAGUUGACUAGACUGUGAAUGAUAAUGUCUGAAAAGCAUAAAUGAAUGAAGCAUUGUGCAUGAGGAGAUAGGACAACGGGGGGGGUAGAUUGGAUAUUACAAAGAUGGUGGAGCUGGAGUUGGAUGAGUUUCUGAAUCUGGAACAAAGAGUCAGAAUUUUCAAAGAAAGUGAUGGAACGUCAGUGAUGCUCUGAGUUACUGGAAUGUGAACUAACUCUCUCGAAGCAGGAACUGAUGCUAGACUGAGACCAGAGUGAGUCUGAAUAAAUGAGCAUACUCUUACGCCAUUCAUGGCUUCACCAUUUACCUCUGUCAUAGCCACCAAGUCUAUAGAGGGAGUUGCAUUUGUGUAGAGUAGAAGGUGCUCGGGAUGAAGAAGAAAGUCAUUGUAGAGGAAAAACAUGCCCUUGCAGGAGUGAUCGAAGAUGAGCUAGCCUUGAACAGAAGAGAUGUUGGCUGCUUUUUUGGUGGAAUAUUAGAAAUGUAAGAUUUCUCUGACUAAUGAUACAAUUGCAUGGUUCACGUAGUCAAGAAAUGUAAGCAACUGUUAUUGGAAACAUCUAUCAGUGGGUAAAAUUAAAUAGAGCAAAGCGAUUUAAUUGAUCUUUCAGGGCUACAUGAUGAACAAAAGUGAGGAAAGCUGUGAAGUAAAAGCUCUUUUCCAAGACAUGUCUAUGAGUGCCAGAAAAUCUGGGUGAAUGAGGAGGACUUUGAAGAUGUCUGCCCAGAGCCUUGGCCUGCUAAGCGAAUGAUUUUAAUGAUCUUAUCGAAUCCUUCUUUGACUUCUUUGGCUAGAAAUGAGUCAACUGUGUCAGGAUCUGAAAGAGCAAACUGAAAAUAGAGACAGUGAUAAGUGGAAUUUUUAAUAUCUAUGCCCAAGUGAAAACCAUGAAUGAGUCCGUCAACGAGAAAGUUAAAUUCUCUAUCAGGAUGAUGUUUAAGGGUAGGAAUGAGAGCAUUCACCUUGAUUUAGAGUAAAGAUAUCGUUUUUGUAAAUUUACAGUGGAAGAAGGGUUGUGGGGUCAGAAUAUCCUUGCAUAGACGCCGUCACAAAUUAGCAGGCGUGCAGCAGUUUGCGGCUGGAGACUGAACUGCCAAGAUAGUUGAAAUAAUUGCAGAGAGAGUUAGUCAUCGAAUUCGGACCGGAACUGAAUACUAAAGUGUAUGGAAUUCUUAUUGAGGAAACCAAUAGCCUUUGAGGUUUGCAGCAAGAUGUUCGUUUUCUAUAAUUCUAUUGUUAAGCUCACUCUGACUGCCUAUGUGAGGCAAGUUUUCAAUUAGUAGAAAAUCUUUAAAAUUAUUUUGAAUUUUACAGUGACAAAUGCACCAAUUGUGAUCAUCCAAGGGAAAUCCUGAUAUUCUUAAUAAUGAUGGUUUAUCUUCAUGUUUUUAGAUGAAAACAGGUCAAUAAAAUUACAAUAGUUAAUUUGUUUUUGUAUGUAUAAUUAAAUUAUUGGUCUGUCCUUCCCAAUUCUGAUGAGUCUGCACUGAGGAGCAGACAUGAACUACCACACAAAGUCAGAUAAAUAACCUAAUUACUGUUUAUCUACAGUACUUUUAAUUCAUUUAAUCCAAAUUAAUCAAGUCAUGCUGAGAAGGUUAAAUGCAAAACACAACCAUGCUUGGGGGUAAUAAACAAGAGAUUAUUGUUUAUAAUAACUGACAAUAAGGGCACCAAAUCAAUUGCUGCCCUUGACCUGAAAUAAUCUUGGGCCGGCUUUGUGAAUGAUAAGGAUUAAUUGAAUUGCUGUGGUUUUAAGCUGAGGAGUUAUUAAAUGAAUACAAUCUUUCCUAAUUUAUUGACUGAAAAUUCACUUCAGUUCAAUAAGUUUUAAUGGUUAAAAAGAGGAAAUAAAUAAAGAUCUAUGUAGAAAGAAUACAAAUUAUACAUGCAAUUGUUUUAAAUAACAAACUGCAUCUGGUCUUUUAUUAACAUGUCUAACUUGAUAUAAAGGUAAAAGCAUUCUUUUGGAAGUCAGACAGAGGCUACAUCAAGAGGUAACUGACAUAACAAAACUGUAUAAAAAACAUCAAAAAGUUCUCAUUUUUAUUCAAACCACAACAUUUUUGAAUUCCAAGCAAAUUAUUUUGGGAAAUCCCAGCAGAUUUCACAAAAUAAUCUGCUGGGAUUAUUUUGAAUCCAAAAACAGCUACCCUUUCCCUAACUUGAUAAUGGCCGAAACACCCUGAGACCCUGAGGUGCACUAAUGACAAUGUGUCCUUAAUUAAUAUUUAUUUAAUAAUUUAGGUAAAUUGGUGUAACUUUAUUACACCGAUUUACCUCGAGUUAACCUGGACUCCUAGUACAUUUUUACACCUCUCAUGGCAGAUUGCCCUUCUGAAGGUUUACAAUAACUAUGUGCUCAACUACUGCUAGAAUUUACUGUCUUUUGGGUUUUGCACUGUAAAAACGUGCUUUCCUUACUGCUCGACUUAGUACCUUUAGACAUUUGGGGAUGGGUUCAUUGUCUUUUUGACAUUCAGAUUAAUUAACUGAGGUUAGUUGGGGAGUUCUAUUACAGUUUUAGGCGUUUUAGUUGGUUUGCAUUCAAUUUGAUCAUGUUUAAAUGUAAAUAGGCACUCAUUCUUUGCUCGAAUGCUUCCAGUUGGAACGGGAAGCUGCAGAUGGCGUGCGGUGGCCCGUGCAUUGCCUUUGGCUUUCCUCUAACCACCCAGUCGACGGACGAGGUGAGGAAAGUCAUUGAGAGCUUGAAUCCCUAACCCUUACCCUACCACCCUGCAAAGAUGUUCCUACUCCUUGGACCUUUCCACAUUUUGACACAUUAUAAUUACAAACUUUAAUGUACUUACUAGGAUUUAGUAAUACCAACACAAAGCAAUGCACAACUGCAAAAUGGGAGGACAAUUAUACAGGUGCUGGUCAUAAAAUUUGAAUAUCAUGAAAAAGUUGAUUUAAAUCAGUAAUCCCAUUCCAAAAGUGUAACUUGUAUAUUAUAUUCAUUCAUUACACACAGACUAAUGUAUUUCAAAUGUUUGUUUCUUUUAGUGUUUAUGAUUGACAACUAAUGAAAACUCCAAAUUCAGUACGUCAGAAAAUUUGAAUAUUGUGAAAAGGUUCAAUAUUGAAGACCCCUGGUGCCACACACAGCUAAUUAACUCAAAAGACAUGCAAAGGCUACACAGUCAUGGGGAUGUCUACUGACUUGACAGUUGUUCAAAAGAUGACCUUUGACACCUUGCACAAGAGGGUAAGACACAAACAUCAAGAAGCUCUGCACAGAGCUCUGUGUCCGAACACAUUCAUAGAGGUGAAGUGAAGGAAAAGGUGUGGUAGGAAAAAAAUGGACAACCAAUCAGGAUAACUGCACCUCGGAGGGGUGAAACAAACCCAUUUAAAAAUGUGGGGAAAAUUCACAAAGAGUGGACUGCAGCUGGAGUCAGAUCUUCAAGACUCACCACACACAGAUAAGACGUGGGUUUCAGCUGUCACAUUCCUUUUGUCAAGCCACUCUUGAACAAGAGACGGCAUUAGAAGCACUUUGCCUGAACUAAAGACAGAAAGGACUCUGGACUGCUGCUGAAUGAUCCAAAGUUAUGUUCUCUGAUGAAAGAUAAUUCUUCAUUUCCCUUGGAAAUUAAGGUCACGGAGUCUGGAGGAAGAGAGGAGUGGCACAGAAUCCAUGUUGCUUGAGGUUCAGUCAAAGUUUCUAAAGUCAGUGAUGGUUUGGGUUGCCAUUUCAUCUGCUGGUGUCGGUCCACUGUGUUUUCUGAGGUCCAAGGUCAGCGCAACCAUCUACCAGGAAGUUUUAGAGCACUUACUGCUGCUGACCAACUUAUGGAGAUACAGAUUUAAUUUUCCAACAGGACUUAGCACCUGCACACAGAGCCAAAGCUACCAGUACCUGGUUUAGGGUCCAUGGUAUCCCUAUUCUUAAUUAACCAGCAAACUCACCUGACCUCAACUCCAUAGAAGAUCUAUGGGGUAUUGUGAAGAGGAAGAUGUGAUACACCAGACAAAACAAUUCAGAAGAGCUGAAGGUCACCAUCAGAGCAACCUGGACUCUCAUAACAUCUGAGCAGUGCCACAGAAUGAUCGGCUCCACGUCACGCCGCAUUGCUGCAGUAAUCUGGGGAAAAGGAGCCCCAACUAAGUACUGAACAUGCUCAUACUUUUCAGUUGGCCAACAUUUCUAAGAAUCCUUUUCUUGUUUUGGUCUUAAGUAAUAAUCUAAUUUUCUGACAUAUUGAAUUUGGGGUUUUCAUUAGUUGUGAGUUAUAAUGAUCAACAUUACAAGAAAAAAAUGUGUGUGUAACGAAUGAAUAUAAUAUACAAGCUUCACUUUUUGACUGGAAUUGCUGACAUAAAUCAUAGUUUGCAUGAUAUUCUAAUUUUAUGACCAGCACUUGUAAACUUAGCUGUUCCUUAAAGGCCUCAGAGGUUUGCUUGAGAACAUUAGACAAGAAAAAGCUCCACACAGAUCCAGGAAUACAGCAGACAGGUCAGUUAGGUUCUAAAACAGCAUGCCAAGCUUUGAACAUCCAGUUUAAUCUGUCUAUUCCAUCAUCUGAACAUAGAAGAUGGUACAAGCGCAAACCUACCAAAGUUUCAUCAUCUACCUAAACUGGAUCUGUUAGUUGUGUGAACCACAAGGAACAGAGGUAAGAAAAGACAGAAAGUAUGAAGUCCUGUUGGUAGUUUUGUAGGCUAAACAAGUCAAUUGAUGUCAAUGUGCAGCAGAAACUAACUAGAAAGCACAUUCAUUUAUCAAUCAUUCAGUCUAAUCUGUGGAAAGACAUUUGAAUAGAUGGAAGCUCCCAAUCUACCUGAGCUUGAGUUACUGUGGAAAAAACAGGGAUGAAACAAAUCUGUCUCUAGUACAAAGCUGGAAAACUGAAGUGAAAACAGUUUUCACCGCAGCACCGAAGCACUGACUCAGGCCAGCUGAACUCACAAACCGGCAGACGCUUUUCAGAGUUUUACAAAUAUGAAUUUAACACUAAAGACCAGUUGUCAUCUGGUUCCCCUCCACUCUGCAUCCCCAGAGUCAGAAUCAAAGAUGGAGAAGCAGCAUUCAGCUUCCAUGCUUCACUAAUCUUGAACAAACUUCAGAAAACUGAAAAACUGCAGAAACAUUGAGCUCCUUUUCGUCAAAGCUAAAACCCAUCUGGCUAGAGUUGCCUGUGAGUCACAAUGACUCAAAGGCGAUAUUGAAUGGAAUAUUGAUCAGUUUACAUGAUGUAUAUUUGAUGAUGUAAUGUUCAUUGUUUCAUAAUUGGUUAUUGUAUUUUGUUUUAUGGUGUAAAACACUUUGAGUCAUAAUGACUGGAACAAUUCAGCCUUUCUGCUGAAAUGUGCUAUGCAAAUAAACUUGACUUCAAACUCAA